UACGUAGGGGGCGAGCGUUGUCCGGAUUUAUUGGACGUAAAGCGCCCGCAGGCGGUGCGCCAAGUGUGGGGUGACAGCGACCGGCUUAACCGGUCGAGUGUCCUACAGACUGGCGCACUUGAGGGCCACAGAGGAACACAGAAUUCCGGGUGGAGUGGUGAAAUGCGUAGAUAUCCGGAGGAAUACCAAAGGCGAAGGCAGUGUUCUGGGUGGUACCUGACGCUCAGGGGCGAAAGCUAGGGGAGCGAACGGG
rnacentral:rRNA from 1 species